rnacentral:rRNA from 1 species
AACGAACGCUAGCGGCAGGCUUAACACAUGCAAGUCGAGCGCCCCGCAAGGGGAGCGGCAGACGGGUGAGUAACGCGUGGGAACGUGCCCUUUGGUUCGGAACAACUCCGGGAAACUGGAGCUAAUACCGGAUAAGCCCUUCGGGGGAAAGAUUUAUCGCCAAAGGAUCGGCCCGCGUCUGAUUAGCUAGUUGGUGAGGUAAUGGCUCACCAAGGCGACGAUCAGUAGCUGGUCUGAGAGGAUGAUGAGCCACACUGGGACUGAGACACGGCCCAGACUCCUACGGGAGGCAGCAGUGGGGAAUAUUGGACAAUGGGCGCAAGCCUGAUCCAGCCAUGCCGCGUGAGUGAUGAAGGCCUUAGGGUUGUAAAGCUCUUUUGUCCGGGAAGAUAAUGACUGUGCCGGAAGAAUAAGCCCCGGCUAACUUCGUGCCAGCCGCCGCCGUAA